AUGCAGUCGANCGGUAAGGNCCAUUUCGGGGGUACACGAGCGGACGAACGGGCCCCUUNAAGGNGGGUGACCUGCCCUCAGCCUCNGGGAUAAGCCUCCCUUAANNGGGUCUAAUACCGGAUAUGACUCCAUGACGCAUGUUGUGGGGUGGAAAGCCUUGUGCGGCUGGGGAUGGGCCCGCGGCCUAUCAGCUNGUUGGUGGGGUGAUGGCCUACCAAGGCGACGACGGGUAGCCGGCCUGAGAGGGCGACCGGCCACACUGGGACUGAGACACGGCCCAGACUCCUACGGGAGGCAGCAGNGGGGAAUCUUGCGCANUGGGCGAAAGCCUGACNCAGCGACGCCGCGNGAGGGAUGACGGCCUUCGGGUUGUAAACCUCUUUCAGCUCCGACGAAGCGAAAGUGACGGUAGGAGCAGAAGAAGCACCGGCCAACUACGUGCCAGNCAGCCGCGGUAAUACCGUANGGUGCAAGCGUNGUCCGGAAUUAUUGGGCGUAAAGAGCNCGUA
rnacentral:rRNA from 1 species